rnacentral:rRNA from 1 species
CCUACGGGAGGCAGCAGUAGGGAAUUUUCGGCAAUGGGGGGAACCCUGACCGAGCAACGCCGCGUGAAGGAAGAAGGAAUUCGUUCUGUAAACUUCUGUUAUAAAGGAAGAAAGACGGAUGGAGGAAAUGACAUCCGAGUGACGGUACUUUAUGAGAAAGCCACGGCUAACUACGUGCCAGCAGCCGCGGUAAUCCGGGGGAUGCAAGCGUUAUCCGGAUUAAUUGGGUUUAAAGGGUGCGUAGGCUGUGAGGUAAGUCAGCGGUGAAAUGCCCCCGCUCAACGGGGUGAAGUGCCAUUGAUACUGCCUUGCUGGAAUGCGGAUGCCGUGGGAGGAAUGUGUGGUGUAGCGGUGAAAUGCAUAGAUAUCACACAGAACACCGAUUGCGAAGGUAUCUCACGAAUCCGCGAUUGACGCUGAUGCACGAAAGCGUGGGUAUCAAACAGGAUUAGAUACCCUUGUAGUC